GACGUAGGGGGCGAGCGUUGUCCGGAAUUACUGGGCGUAAAGGGCGCGUAGGCGGCCCGAUAAGUUAGAUGUGAAAGUCCCGUUUUUCAAGAUGGGGGAGUGCAUUUGAUACUGACGGGCUUGAGUGCAGGAGAGGUAAGCGGAAUUCCAAGUGUAGCGGUGAAAUGCGUAGAGAUUUGGAGGAACACCAGUGGCGAAGGCGGCUUACUGGACUGUAACUGACGCUGAGGCGCGAAAGCGUGGGGAGCAAACAGG
rnacentral:rRNA from 1 species